CAUCGUGUGGGUUUUCCGUCAAGGCUAACUCGAAGCUUCUCCAACUUCACCAUUUCCACUUUCAGCUCAGCCCUCUGCUGGCAUUCUUGCUGCCAACACCCACCGUCGUCGUUUGUCGUCUGGCUCCACCAAUAAGGGUUCAGCACACUCACAUGACCGAUACUGCGGCUGCAGAUCAUUCCAAAUGAGGGUGCACAAGUAAAUGAUGUGAAGACCAUUCAAAGGCUUGGAAUUCAACCAAAUGAGGUUGCCAAACUAGUUAGUCAAGCUUUUGCUAAGAUGAUGUUCAAACAUGGGUUUGUGCAUUGUGACCCCCUUGCUGCCAACCUGCUAGUUCGUCCUUCGCCUUCUAGCAAAAGGAGCAUUCUAGGUAAGAGAAAACCACAGUUGAUACUUCUAGAUCAUGGAUUGGUGCUAGUCUUGACGAGAUUAUUAUCCCAACCCAAUGCAGUACUCUAACACAACCAACGCCACCGGGCAAUAAUGAGGAAAUGUUGUGCAUGCCCCAUGGGACUUAGUGCAAAUUAGUUGUCGAGUUUUUUGAGCAACAAUUGGUUUAGAUGAAUUAGUGUAACAAAUGGGUAAAUGUGUAUUUGUAUUUGCAAAUAGUUCAAUGGGGUAUGGAAAUUUUUGUUGUUAUGACUUACUAGAGGCCCAGAGGGAGUAUGGAAACCAUUCUAAAAGAAUAGGUAUGGAAAUUAUUUUGUUGUGACUUACUAGAGCCGGUAUGGAAAUGAUUGUAAAUGAAAUGAUUGUAUAUUUUGUACACAGUCAGUGUGAAAAUGAUUGUAAAUAUGGUUUAGUUGAUGUUUUUUUUUUUUCUUUUCCA